rnacentral:rRNA from 1 species
AUUGAACGCUGGCGGCAGGCUUAACACAUGCAAGUCGAGCGAGCGGCGGACGGGUGAGUAAUGUGUGGGAAACUGCCAGAUGGAGGGGGAAAUCUACGGGAAACGGUAGCUAAUACCGCAUACCAUCAGAUGUGCCCAGAUGGGAUUAGCUAGUAGGUGGGGUAAGGGCUCACCUAGGCGACGAUCCCUAGCUGGUCUGAGAGGAUGACCAGCCACACUGGAAGUGAGACACGGUCCAGACUCCUACGGUAGGCAGCCGUGGGGAAUAUUGCACAAUGGGCGCAAGCCUGAUGCAGCCAUGCCGCGUGUAUGAAGAAGGCCUUCGGGUUGUAAAGUACUUUCAGCGGGGAGGCGUUACCCGCAGAAGAAGCACCGGCUAACUCCGUGCCAGCAGCCGCGGUAAUUC